rnacentral:rRNA from 1 species
UACGGGGGGGGCAAGCGUUGUUCGGAAUUACUGGGCGUAAAGGGCUCGUAGGCGGCCAACUAAGUCAGACGUGAAAUCCCCAGGCUCAACCUGGGAACUGCGUCUGAUACUGGAUGGCUUGAAUCCGGGAGAGGGAUGCAGAAUUCCAGGUGUAGCGGAGAAAUGCGUAGAUAUCUGGAGGAAUACCGGUGGCGAAGGCGGUAUCCUGGACCGGCAUUGACGCUGAGGAGCGAAAGCCAGGGGAGCAAACGGG